GAUGAACGCUGGCGGCGUGCUUAACACAUGCAAGUCGAACGAAGCACUUGAAACGGAUUCUUCGGAUGAAGUUUCCUGUGACUGAGUGGCGGACGGGUGAGUAACGCGUGGGUGACCUGCCUCAUACAGGGGGAUAACAGUUAGAAAUGGCUGCUAAUACCGCAUAAGCGCACAGCAUCGCAUGAUGCAGUGUGAAAAACUCCGGUGGUAUGAGAUGGACCCGCGUUGGAUUAGCUAGUUGGCAGGGUAACGGCCUACCAAGGCGACGAUCCAUAGCCGGCCUGAGAGGGUGGACGGCCACAUUGGGACUGAGACACGGCCCAGACUCCUACGGGAGGCAGCAGUGAGGAAUAUUGCACAAUGGGGGAAACCCUGAUGCAGCGACGCCGCGUGAGCGAAGAAGUAUUUCGGUAUGUAAAGCUCUAUCAGCAGGGAAGAAAAUGACGGUACCUGACUAAGAAGCCCCGGCUAACUACGUGCCAGCCGCCGCAGUAA
rnacentral:rRNA from 1 species